UUUUUUUCUUUAAACAAAAUCAUCACUAUCUUAUUUUAUUAGUUUGAUUUUUUUUUCAUUUGAAAAAGGGAAUUAGAAAAAUCCGAACAUUAAGAUUUUUGAUUACUUUAGUUCAUAACUUACUAAAUUAUGUUAAAAAAGAAGAAGAUAAAUCAGAAAGUUGAAUCUACUGUUCUUUUUUUGUCCCGACCAAAAUUUACUGUUAAAAUGAAUAAAAUAAAACAAGUUUAGUUGUACCACGAUCCAAUAUGGCCUCAAGUUGGGAUUAUUCGAAAUGAUCAGUUUACCAAACCUUGGCACUGUAGUACAUAUGAUUAACUAAUGCGUUUGGGUGGUUUUGGUACAGAAAAAGCCCUUUCUAAGAUUUUUGGGGCUAGAGAGAAGGAGCUGGCGAAAUAUUUUAAAAAAGUCCAGGACGCGGCGGGCGCUAUACCUCCACCCCCUCCAUCGCCGGCAUGCAAACCUAAGGACGAUGAAUGUAAGGGAAAAGUGAUCAAACUGAACAAACAGAACCUGAGCAAACAGAUCAAUGACUUGUUGAAGAAGUUAUGCAAACCUAAUGGCAACGUAUGUAACAGAAAGAAUAAACUACUGAUCGAGGACUUAUUGAAGAAGGCAUGCAAACCUAAUAAUGAAGUCGUAUGUAAGAUAAAUUUUAUCAAACGUAUCAAUGACUUCUUGAAGAAGGCAAAAUCCCCUCCAUCGCCUUGAAGGUUUUCCAAAGCCAAAAACAAAUGAUUCCACAAAUUUCUUGAUGAAAAAAUAUUUUCACAAGUUGUCACCAUAAAUGUA
rnacentral:lncRNA from 1 species